AAUAGAUACCCCGGUAGUCCACGCCGUAAACGAUGAGUGCUAAGUGUUAGAGGGUUUCCGCCCUUUAGUGCUGCAGCUAACGCAUUAAGCACUCCGCCUGGGGAGUACGGUCGCAAGACUGAAACUCAAAGGAAUUGACGGGGGCCCGCACAAGCGGUGGAGCAUGUGGUUUAAUUCGAAGCAACGCGAAGAACCUUACCAGGUCUUGACAUCCCACUGACCGGUAUAGAGAUAUACCUUUCCCUUCGGGGACAGUGGUGACAGGUGGUGCAUGGUUGUCGUCAGCUCGUGUCGUGAGAUGUUGGGUUAAGUCCCGCAACGAGCGCAACCCUUGACCUUAGUUGCCAGCAUUUAGUUGGGCACUCUAAGGUGACUGCCGGUGACAAACCGGAGGAAGGUGGGGAUGACGUCAAAUCAUCAUGCCCCUUAUGACCUGGGCUACACACGUGCUACAAUGGAUGGUACAAAGGGCUGCAAGACUGCGAAGUCAAGCCAAUCCCAUAAAACCAUUCUCAGUUCGGAUUGCAGG
rnacentral:rRNA from 1 species